rnacentral:lncRNA from 1 species
UCCAGUAGUUUAUGUUAUCAAGAAAGGUAAUCAGUCAGCACCAGCAAGUGUCCCAUAUCACAACGAUUCACAGCGUUCUACUGUCUUACCCGGAGAAGAUGAUGUAGAUCAGAAUGAAGCAGAUGAUGACGAUUCAGAGUCAUCAGAUGAUGAGGAUGACAAGCGCCGGGAAGAGAUCGUGAAAUCAAGCAUACAUGAAUAUGAAUGUUGGAUUCGCCAACCGGGGCACCUCGAGAGACUUAUCGGGCAACGUAAUUUAACAUCUAAGCAUCAUGCAGGUGCAGACGCCCAUCGUGAUGAUGAUGAUGAUGAUGAUAAUUCAGCGAGUGAUGAACAACGUAAUUGGAUGAUUGCAAUUCCUAAUUUGGAUAGUGCAUUACCAUUACGUUGGGAUGAACCAUCUUUUGUAGACAAAGGGCAGUUAUCCAUGAAUGCCACAUUUGGGUCGAAGGAUGAGUUGGCAAUUGCAGUGGGACUGUAUCACAUGGAGCAGAAAGUAGAGUACAGUUCGGAUCGGUCCAAUAGCAUACGUGUAGGUUACGUUUGCAAGCAUUCUAAGCAAUGCACGUUUAAGCUACGUGCAGUCCAG